rnacentral:rRNA from 1 species
CCUACGGGAGGCAGCAGUGGGGGAUAUUGGACAAUGGGGGGAACCCUGAUCCAGCGACGCCGCGUGAGUGAAGAAGUAUUUCUGUAUGUAAAGCUCUGUCAGCAGGGAAGAAAGCAAUGACGGUACCUGACCAAGAAGCCCCGGCUAACUACGUGCCAGCAGCCGCGGUAAUACGUAGGGGGCAGGCGUUAUCCGGAAUUACUGGGUGUAAAGGGGGCGUAGACGGCUGUGCAAGUCUGGAGUGAAAGGCGGGGGCCCAACCCCCGGACUGCUCUGGAAACUGUAUGGCUGGAGUGCAGGAGAGGUAAGCGGAAUUCCUGGUGUAGCGGUGAAAUGCGUAGAUAUUAGGAGGAACACCAGUGGCGAAGGCGGCUUACUGGACUGUAACUGACGUUGAGGCUCGAAAGCGUGGGGAGCAAACAGGAUUAGAUACCCUAGUAGUC